CCUACGGGAGGCAGCAGUAGGGAAUUUUCGUCAAUGGGCGCAAGCCUGAACGCGCAAUGCCGCGUGAACGAGGAAGGUCUUCGGAUCGUAAAGUUCUGUUGAAGGGGAAAAAGAGCGGAGAGAGGAAAUGAACUCCGAUUGAUAUUACCAUUCGAGGUAGUCACGGCUAACUACGUGCCAGCAGCCGCGGUAAUACGUAGGUGGCGAGAGUUAUCGAGUAUGAUUGGGCGUAAAGGGUGCGUAGGCGGCCUGCUAAGUCUGGAGUGAAAGGUACCGGCUCAACCGGUAUAGGCGCUGGAAACUGGCGGGCUAGAGAGCAGGAGAGGGAGGUGGAACUCCAGGUGUAGCGGUAAAAUGCGUAGAUAUAUGGCAGAACACCAGUGGCGAAGGCGGCCGCCUGGCCUGUUACUGACGCUGAGGCACGAAAGCGUGGGGAGCAAAUAGGAUUAGAUACCCGUGUAGUC
rnacentral:rRNA from 1 species